rnacentral:tRNA from 1 species
GGAUACAUAGCUCAGUUGGUUAGAGCAUCACGUUGACAUCGUGGAAGUCACUGGUUCGAUUCCAGUUGUGUCCA